rnacentral:piRNA from 1 species
UGGAUAGAAUAAAAGACCUUAGA